rnacentral:rRNA from 1 species
GAGCGGCGAACGGGUGAGUAACACGUGAGUAACCUGCCCCUGACUCUGGGAUAAGCCUGGGAAACUGGGUCUAAUACCGGAUAUGACACCUNCNGGCAUNGGGNGGGUGUGGAAAGUUUUUUCGGUUGGGGAUGGGCUCGCGGCCUAUCAGCUUGUUGGUGGGGUAGUGGCCUACCAAGGCGACGACGGGUAGCCGGCCUGAGAGGGCGACCGGCCACACUGGGACUGAGACACGGCCCAGACUCCUACGGGAGGCAGCAGUGGGGAAUAUUGCGCAAUGGGCGGAAGCCUGACGCAGCGACGCCGCGUGGGGGAUGACGGCCUUCGGGUUGUAAACCUCUUUCAGCAGGGACGAAGUUGACGUGUACCUGUAGAAGAAGCGCCGGCUAACUACGUGCCAGCAGCCGCGGUAAUACGUAGGGCGCAAGCGUUGUCCGGAAUUAUUGGGCGUAAAGAGCUCGUAGGUGGCUUGUUGCGUCUGCCGUGAAAGCCCGUGGCUUAACUGCGGGUCUGCGGUGGAUACGGGCAGGCUAGAGGCUGGUAG